ACAUGGAACAAAAUGAAAAAAUUGAAAGUUAGGUGUUCUGGUCAGAUUUUGAGAUUACAAAAUUGUAAUAGGUGCUGAAAACUGUAACCUACAGCCAGAAUAUUCAUGCCUCCCUUCUUCAGAAAAAUGCUGAGCUCAAGUGAGAAAACCUUGGUCUUCAUUGUCUCCUAAAAUUUCAAUCCACCUUUAAAAUUGUGGACUAUGGAGGUAAAGCAACUAAGAGGGAGAAGAUCCAGCAGUCAGUGCUUCUGAUCAAUAUCAGCUAUCAGUCCGAACAAUUCCCACCAAUUAACCUCUUUUUCCUCCAAAUUCAUUUCUGUCCUCUGAGUUUUCAGAUAAUGGCUUCAAGUUUCUUCAUCUUAUAAAAAGCAGGCUUAUUUUAAUAUGGGUUCGUGUUUGUGAAGCACGGAUUUUACUUAGGUCUUUUCUUAAAAGAACAUUUCUGACCCAGCGUGAAUCACUGGACAUCGUGCCGUGUGAUUGGAACCAUCAGAUUCCUUCACGUUACAACAUGACUGCUCUUCAGGACAUGUUGGCUGUUCACCUUUUGCCCUGGCUUUGCAUAAGGAAUAUGAAGUGUGCUUGCAAACAGAACCUUGUUAGUGGGCAAUAGUUUCUUCCUCCUGGAAACCCAUGUCAAAGGAUUCUCAUUCUCAUCAUUUUGUUUUCAGUUUUGAGCCUGGGGUGAUGGAAAGCUUCUGGAUUCCAGAGUCUGCAGGAUAUGGGUUUGAAGAUCUGCUGCGUGAUCGUGGACAGGAUGAAUCUUUCCCUGGUACUUACUCAGGAUCUUGUUGAUGGAACAUGGAGGAAAAAUACAUUAUGCAUUUCAUGUGGAAAAAAGCUCUAACCAGGUUGUGCAAAAAAUCCUUACAUUGAAUUUUGGCUCACAAAGAACCCAAGAGUGCAUUCUCACAUUGGAAUCCUGUCAAAGAAGAGAUCGGGAGCUCUAUGUAUAGAGAGGCAGAAGAGGAGCUCAGCCUAAGGAGGGAGUGCUAAACUGCCACAUAUAGGAGCAGCUGAUUAAAGCAUCAAAGAACCAAAAUGAAAGCAACAGUGAAGCCUUAGAGAUGACAUCUGCAAGAGGCUAAGCCAGAGCAGGUGCUGCCACCCUUAAUCCACUCCCCCCAUGGAAUGGCGUCCUGGUGGAGGGUCGGCUGAAUCGGCACUGAUGGGGAGGUGGUCUGGUCCUGGAGGGAGCCCUUAACAACAGGUUCUUGCAAUUUUAUGAAUGCUGGUGGAAGAAGAGGGAUGCUGAGGGGGAGGGGGAGGAGUAGAAAACUCCUGGGUACUCCGUCAGAGUAGAAAAACUUGUUUUCAGGCUUUUCCCUUUUCUCCCCCCCAUGAGGAAGGCGUGGCAGAAGUACCUGAAGACCUUGGAUAAAGAGACCUAGGAAUGAAGAUGCAUAGCUAGGAAAGCAAAUAUACAGAGUAUGGCCAGAGCAGCCAGAGUCCUUGACUAUGUCUCCUUUCAGAGGCUGCCCGGUGGUGUUGGCUGUACCCAGGCAGGUGUGGGGAGGACAGCUUUCCUCCAUGAGGCCUGCCAGAACGAUGCUGGUUUCCCUAGUGCAAAACACAGUGCCUGGCACACGGCAACAGAGACUGAGAAGUUUGCCCGCGGUCACAUGGUUGGCGCAUGUAGGAUGGAAAUCAUGAGUCCAGGCAGGUGCUCCAGAGCUCAGUCUUGGUAACCAUCAAACCUCUAGUGAUUCCCAAGUGUUCAUCUCCAGAACCGGCUUGUCUCCUGAGGGUCCACUGACUGCAGCCUUCCUGGGAUGACUGUAGACCUGGACACUUGGUCCUAUCUCUGUGCUCCCUAUGGUCAUCUAGAACUGCCCAGGGAGGAAAUUGAAGAAGGGUCUGGUGAGCCCGCAGGAGGGAAAGAAGGAAUGGGGAGGCCCCACACAUGAGCCUAUUUCUUCUCCUUCCCACCUCCCCCAACAGCACUUCAUUCCAAACAACCUGGGACCCAAAGACCCUAUGAAUUUCCUUGUGCUUCUGUCUCCUGUGCUCUCACUUCCUCUGUUACCAUGACUUGUUCCUCAAUCUCAAUUAGGCUCCACACUCAGCAUGGAGCCCAACGCGGGGCUUGAACUCACCACCCUGAGAUCAUGACCUCAGCCGAAAUCAAGAGUCGGAUGCUCAACUGACUGAGCCACCCAGGUACCCUGCUCCUCUGGCUUCUUAAUGCUGUUCAUGUCCUCCUCCAGCAGGGACGACCACUGCCCAAAUUUCUGGUCCCUUCCUCACUUUCUGGGCCCACUGAGGCAGUGUCCUUUGGGUGUCUCCAUCAACUAGAGCAGUAUCUAACCCACGCUGGAUAAAACACAGACUGCUGGGCCCCUGCCCAGAUUCUGACUCACUGGGCCUGGAGCAGGGACUGGGAACGUGCCUGAUGCCACGUCACAGUGCCUACGUCACUUACCUCACUUCAUCUCAUCACAUGGGCAUUUGUUAUCUCAAAUCAUCAGCAUCAGCAUCAUCGGAGUGGGCCUGAUGUCACUGAAAUGGGCAGAUUCUGGAUUCAGACCUCCUGGUGGGACCCUACCUCCCCAAACCACCCACUGAUGAGACCUUGGACACGCAACACAGUCUCUCUGAGCCCGAGUUCUCCUUUUGGAAGGAUGGGGCUGGGAUAUCAUUCAACUUCAUUGGAUUAAAGCCCAGAUGAAUAUUGUCACACAUAUUUUACAUUUGAGCAAAGGAUUUGAGGAAGAUGAACCUUCAGAUAUACAUCAAGUGGUGCAGUAGGUGCCAAGCUGUCAUGUAGCCUUGAUCUUGAAAACAGAAGACUAUGCCCAGUUAUGUGCCCUCUAGGGGUCAUACUUUUCUUCCUGAAUCCCCUGUGCCGUUCUGGGCAUCAGGCCAUUUCAUCCGGUGAUAGGGCAUCUCCAGGAGGAAAGGGGAAUCUCUCCCCAAAAUGCUGUCUCUGGGCUCCCGAGUUCCCAGCAGUGUAACAGAAUGUGGACAAGAUGCUCCAGCAGUGAGUGGGAAAGGACCUUUCAGCCACCUCAGAGUUGCAUCAGCCAAGGAUUCUCUGAGUCAGCACUGGCCUGGACUCUGACAUUAUAACUCUCGAUUGUCUCCAAUCUGACAUCAGCCCAUCCCCAGGAUGGCUGUGUAAGACACUGGUUCUGGAGCCCGUGACCUCAGGGGCCCUGACACUAUUCCCCUUCUACCUUCACACUUCUGCCUUGGAAGCAAUGCCUUGAAGUCCUUCCUUCUUUCUUUCCAAGCCUCCAUCCAUUUCCUGUCACAGAAGGAAUGACAAUUGCUUUCAAGAGUCCAACACCGUUCAGUCACAUGCCAAUAGCAAUGGAAAGAAUGAUCCCGAACAUAGUGGUCCAUGCAUACAGUAGGUUUUCUUAGUGUAAUUUUAUAGAUGAGGACACUGAGGCUUAGAGAGGCUAAGUGACUUGCUCAAGGACACACAGCUGAGCCAGAGAUAGAUCCCAGGUCUGUCUGAUUCCCAACUAAUGAAUCUAUAGGUAUGAGCAUUAUUUUGGGAAUCAUUAGCUGGAACAGAAAGGACAGGAAGGAAUGCAUUUGGGUGCACAGGUUGUGAUACUAGUGACUCCAUCGGGGACGACCCAGAACCCAGGCAAAAAUACAUCCAGAACAAUUUAUGGAACUGCAUUUUCUAGGAACCCUCUGUCUGUCUAGGUCCUUCUAUUUACUUCCUCCCUUGGUUCCCUUCCUGUCACGCAUAAGGCCAAGAUAUCAGGUCCCUGUGAUACAUUAGGUGGGGUCUCUGUCCUUGUAGAUGCUGCCACUGAUUGGACCCUGAGGGGCAGAAAUGGGAACUUCCUGGGGUCCAGAGCUUAGUAGGUACCAGCCCGUUAUAGUCUCUUAAUUACUGUUUUUUACAUGGAUGUUCACUAGACAUGUUCAACAUGACAUCUGCCGUUCACCACUACCUUCGAAGGCUAUCAGUCCCACCCACAACAGGUCACUCUGACAUAGUUCCCUAAAUAAAGAGUUGCUACUUACUAGAUUGGUAGUAAAUAUUUGACUUGAAGGCAGCCAAUUCGUAGGCUGGCCACUGAGCCAUAAUGAAGAUUGGCCUGAAAAGUAAGGGCAAUGGUAAUCAGCUAGAAUAGCCAGAUUUUCUCCUUUUGGAAUGUCACUCAGAAAAUACAGAAAGCAAGCCAGUUUGUCAGAGAACAAGAAGACAUAAAUAGAAGGAGAGAACAAACGGAAAAAUCCCAGCAUUGGUGAUGCCUUGAAUUGAAGACAACAAACUGGCUUCUUUUGUGGUCCAGUCUCUUUUGUUGACUGUGCGUCCUGACAAUAAGUGUUUAUUUUUUGAGACAGCUUAAAAGAGUCUCUGUUUCUAGCAAACCCCAAAGAACUCUUUCUGAGGUGGGUAAGAGACAGUUCUGCUUUGGGGGUGCUGGCUUCUCACUAACACAUAAUUUACUGCUCCUACCUUGGCCUCGCCUGACUCUGUGCUUGGUUCUGGGUCAGGUUGGUAUAUUUUCUUUCCAGAUCCCCUUGUGCUGUUCUUGGCCUCUUCCCAAGGUAGGGCAGGUAGCUCCAUGGCCUCCUUCAGCAUGGAGGCCUGCCAGGUCCUAACGUGGGGGCACCACGCUCCAGGGAUGGAUGCUGCAUCACCGGACAGUGGAGAAUGUUAAUAAGAGCCACCUCCUACUACCUGCUCCGUCACGGUUUUCUCUUUACAACGCUUCCUCUGACAGCCUGAGUUUGUUUCUUCCUCUGGGGCUGCUGCUCUGGAAGCCACCUAUCUGUCUCAGGUCUGGGGCCCUCUUGUUUAUUUGGGUUUCUCUCUGGGUCUCACCUGGCUUCCAGUUUCCUGUGUCAUCCUUUGGUCCAUCCAAGAUCUCCCUGGGGAGACCAGCCACAUCAGCAAAAGGAAAAUGAAAUGAGCAGGGAGACUGACCCCCUAAAACUGCAUGAUGAAGGGAUUUGCAAGCCUUGUGCAUUUUGGAAGAUUCCAUUCCUAGAGACUGGCGUAACUCUCUGGUUAAUUUAAAACCAAAGUAGGGGGUGAAGACUAUUUUCUAGAGCAUUCUGUUCUUCAUGGAUGAGGAAACUGAAGAUCAUAAAAGCCAAACCCCUUGCCUAAAGUCACACAGGAGGGUAGUUUCAGAUCCUCUAAAGAACCCUGAAAUCCUGACCCCUGCUGCAUUGCCUCUCUAUCACAGACCUUUCCUGAAGUGUUUUAUUGAAGGUGUAAGCCACAAAAAGAAUCAGUUUAGUGAGGUUGUUAAGGAGGGAGGAAGGGGAGGUGUGUCUGUACAAACUGUGUGCCACAUGUGUUAUUGAUACUUCCUCAUGUAAUCACCCCAUGAUAUGCUUAUUAUUGUGCCCACUUAAUAAAAAAUAAAACUGAGGCUCAGGGAGGUUGGGUAAUGACAACGAUCACGGCUAUCACUUACUGAGCACCUGCUAUAUGCUAGUUCCCAGUGACGUGCAGAUACCACUCAACCCUGCUCACAACAGCCCUUUCAGGUAAAUACUAUCACUAAGUGAAUUCCCUAAGGACACACAGCUUGGAUUUGAAUCAGGUCCUAUCACCCUGACAGCUGCCUUUGAGCUGAAGCAGAUGUUCUUAGAGAAAAUCAAACUUUUAUGUAAAAAUGUGUGGGAAACUUUACUGAACUAGCAUCAAGUAUGCAAACAUGUUAACUGCAUUUGUAUCUUAGGAAAACAAACAAAAAUCUCUGAUAGGUGGAUUGGCAAGGUUUAUUUCAUGUUUGUUUCCCUGGUCCAGUUAGCUGGUAGGGUUUAGCAAGUGUUAUUGAACGGAUAAAUGAAUGAAUAUCAGGUAUUUCUAUUGCACUGUCAUGAACUGAGUUUGUGACUUUGAGCAAUGACUUGGUUUCUCUGAGCCUUUACUUCCUACUUGCAAAAUGCAGGGGAGAAAAAGAAAGAGGCAUGAAGUCCUAACCAGUCAGCUUAACUUCUGUGCUGAAUUUUUGGGAGGGCCUUGAACCACCACCUUGGGGCUUUCAGAGUGCUGGGGGAAGAGUGCAAGGUCUGAGCCCACUCUUUCAGAGUAAUAUUCCCUUUACACCAGGUCUUGUCAGGAAUCACUCCUUAGGAGUCAAGCUGGUCUUAACUAGGUGGGACCAUGAUCUUUAUUCCCUGGUAAUUGGCCUACAAAUAUGUUAUGGCACAUUGCAAAACGAACUUUGUAGUUGGAGUUAAAGUUGCUAAUCAGCUGAUCCUAAAAUUGAAAGAUUGUUCUGGAUUAUUCAAGUGGCCCAGAUAUAGUCCCAUGGGUCUUUAUAGUCAGAGGAAUAAAAUGAAACAGUUAGUUAGAAUUUGUAAAAGAUAAGGAGGCAGAAGAGAUAGAAAGGAUACACCUUGAUGAGGACCACACCCACUGUUGCUGGCUUUCAAGAUGGAAGAAGGGGCCAUGGGCCAAGGUAUACAGGCAGUCUCUAGAAGUUGUGAGCAGCUCCUGGAAGGUAGCCAGCAGGGAAAUGGAAAGCUCAGGUCUACAACUGCACAGAACUAAAUUCUGCCAAUAACUGAAUAUCCUAAGAUACAGAUUCUCCCUUGGCCUCCAGAAGGGAAUACAGGUCAGCAAGAUGACCAAAUGGGACAUCCCUCACAGCUAUCUUACCCUUAACAAGAGCAAUUUGGCCUCCAC